AAAACCGAGUGUGUUUACUCUGGAGUUGCAAUCCUUAUUAAACAAACUAACCUCUGAUCAAAGAAGUUUUCUGUGGUCUCUUGUAUGAACUGAGGGCAGAAAUCCCUUACAGGGGGAAAUAGGGGGACUGGACUUACUGCAGGGAGGACUGGACUUACUGCAGGGAGGGAAAUAGGAGGACUGGGCUUACUGCAGGGGCGGAAAUAUGGUGAGGACUGGGCUUACUGCAGGGGAGGAAAUAGGAGGACUGGACUUACUGCAGGGGGAGGAAAUAGGGUGAGGACUGGACUUACUGCAGGGGAGGAAAUAGGAGGACUGGACUUACUGCAGGGGGGAAAUAGGAGGACUGGACUUACUGCAGGGGAGGAAAUAGGAGGACUGGACUUACUGCAGUGGGGGAAAUAGGGGGACUGGGCUUACUGCAGGGAAGGAAAUAGGAGGACUGGGCUUACUGCAGGGAAGGAAAUGGGAGGACUGGGCUUACUGCAGGGGGAGGAAAUAGGGGGACUGGGCUUACUGCAGGGAAUGAAAUGGGAGGACUGGGCUUACUGCAGGGGGAGGAAAUAGGGUGAGGACUGGACUUACUGCAGGGGAGGAAAUAGGAGGACUGGGCUUACUGCAGGGGAGGAAAUAGGAGGACUGGACUUACUGCAGUGGAGGAAAUAGGAGGACUGGACUUACUGCAGGAGAGGAAAUAGGGGGACUGGGCUUACUGCAGGGAAGGAAAUGGGAGGACUGGACUUACUGCAGGGGGGGAAAUAGGACUGGGCUUACUGCAGGGGAGGAAAUAGGAGGACUGGACUUACUGCAGGGGAGGAAAUAGGAGGACUGGACUUACUGCAGGGGAGGAAAUAGGAGGACUGGACUUACUGCAGGGGAGGAAAUAGGAGGACUGGACUUACUGCAGGGAGGACUGAAAGGACAACAGGACACACAGACUAAAGCGAAAACAGGUUUUUAGAACGUUUUGGUAAAUAAAAAAAGUGUGGAAAAGGUCUGAAUACUUUCCAAGUGCUCUGUAGUUCUAGUUAAUUCCAUCUGCUGUACUGGACAGGUGCAGAAACAGGAUAGGGGUCCAUCUGCUGUACUGGACAGGUGCAGAAACAGGAUAGGGGUCCAUCUGCUGUACUGGACAGGUUUCAGUCCAGCCUGUAUGACUGUGUGUGGACUUUGCCAUGGUUGAUCUACAGUUGUUGAAUAAUAUUUAUGGUCAUGAACCUCCUCAGUACCAGUGCUAGGCAGCACUGAGUGCUAAUGGGACUAAAUUACUGAUAUAAUGGACAUUUUAACAGUUGUUUAAUUUAGUCAAUUAAUGUGUGUAAUUUUGUGCAUACUGAACAUUCGUUUUGACUUAAUAUGUCAAUUAAAAGAGGUUUAAUCAGUCA